AACGAACGCUGGCGGCAGGCCUAACACAUGCAAGUCGAGCGCUCACCUUCGGGUGGGAGCGGCGCACGGGUGAGUAACACGUGGGAACCUACCUUGAAGUACGGAAUAACUGAGGGAAACUUCAGCUAAUACCGUAUACGCCCUACGGGGGAAAGAUUUAUCGCUUCAGGACGGGCCCGCGUUGGAUUAGCUAGUUGGUGAGGUAACGGCUCACCAAGGCAACGAUCCAUAGCUGAUUUGAGAGAAUGAUCAGCCACACUGGGACUGAGACACGGCCCAGACUCCUACGGGAGGCAGCAGUGGGGAAUAUUGGACAAUGGGCGCAAGCCUGAUCCAGCCAUGCCGCGUGAGUGAUGAAGGCCUUCGGGUUGUAAAGCUCUUUCAGAUGGGACGAUGAUGACGGUACCAUCAGAAGAAGCCCCGGAUAACUUCGUGCCAGCCGCCGCCGUAAGAC
rnacentral:rRNA from 1 species